rnacentral:rRNA from 1 species
GUCGAACGGACCCUUCGGGGUUAGUGGCGGACGGGUGAGUAACACGUGGGAACGUGCCUUUAGGUUCGGAAUAGCUCCUGGAAACGGGUGGUAAUGCCGAAUGUGCCCUUCGGGGGAAAGAUUUAUCGCCUUUAGAGCGGCCCGCGUCUGAUUAGCUAGUUGGUGAGGUAAUGGCUCACCAAGGCGACGAUCAGUAGCUGGUCUGAGAGGAUGACCAGCCACAUUGGGACUGAGACACGGCCCAAACUCCUACGGGAGGCAGCAGUGGGGAAUCUUGCGCAAUGGGCGAAAGCCUGACGCAGCCAUGCCGCGUGAAUGAUGAAGGUCUUAGGAUUGUAAAAUUCUUUCACCGGGGACGAUAAUGACGGUACCCGGAGAAGAAGCCCCGGCUAACUUCGUGCCAGCAGCCGCGGUAAUACGAAGGGGGCUAGCGUUGCUCGGAAUUACUGGGCGUAAAGGGCGCGUAGGCGGACAUUUAAGUCAGGGGUGAAAUCCCAGAGCUCAACUCUGGAACUGCCUUUGAUACUGGGUGUCUUGAGUGUGAGAGAGGUAUGUGGAACUCCGAGUGUAGAGGUGAAAUUCGUAGAUAUUCGGAAGAACACCAGUGGCGAAGGCGACAUACUGGCUCAUUACUGACGCUGAGGCGCGAAAGCGUGGGGAGCAAACAGGAUUAGAUACCCUGGUAGUCCACGCCGUAAACGAUGAUUGCUAGUUGUCGGGCUGCAUGCAGUUCGGUGACGCAGCUAACGCAUUAAGCAAUCCGCCU